rnacentral:pre_miRNA from 10 species
UGCUGUGUUUUAUGGCUUUCUAUUCCUAUGUGAUUUACUCUGCCAUGUCACAUAGGGUCUAAAGCCAUUGGUUACAGAG